UGCAGUUCAGAACAGAUGCAGACUGCAGGGAAAGGCGUCUCUGUGAUCUUUGUUGCUAAAUUAAAUAAAGCAAAUAUACAGCCAGAUCUGUGGGUGGUGAUUCACUCUGCUGUUGUUGUCACGGCGACGCUCUAAUUUGGCCCUCAGUAAACAUUGUGGUUUGCACAACAGUCGCUGGCUCUGCAUUGGCACUGGUUGAUGUAUGUUGGCCAGUGUCUUGACCUCUCCUGCUCCCUCCUCACACAGCACAGGGCUCCAGCAGGACCCUCACACUGUUAUUUUAAAUAUCCGGUUACAGCCUCAAACCCAAGGGGGUCUUUUAACAGGCCAGAGGAUCAAGACCUUGGCUGUAAAGAGCUACUAGGCAAAGACUGACCACUCUUUGUUGUUACUUUUUCCCAAAUCUUGAUAAGCUAGAGCCCCAUUGCCACAUAUACUGGAAAAUAAAAGAAAUGAGAUUUCAGACCAGAUGGCAUGGAAUCAG